AUACGAAGGGCCCAAGCGUUGCGCAGAAUUACUGGGCUUAAAGGGUGCGUAGGCGGACCCGCAAGUGCUUUGUGAAAUCCCACGGCUCAACCGUGGAAUGGCUUGGCAUACUGCGGGUCUUGAGGUCGGCAGAGGUCGCCGGAACUCUAGGUGUAGCGGUGAAAUGCGUAGAUAUCUAGAGGAACGCCCAUGGCGAAGGCAGGCGGCUGGGCCGAUUCUGACGCUGAGGCACGAAAGCGUGGGUAGCGAACGGGAUUAGAAACCCCAGUAGUCC
rnacentral:rRNA from 1 species